GACCUGGCGGUGCAUGGUGCACAUCCACUUGAACUUGCGAUUCGAAACAGGUUAAUAGUGGGAGAUCCUUGUUCGAUUCAGGGCUGGGUCA